AAGUAGUAACAAGGUUUCCGUAGGUGACCUGCGGAGGUCAUUGUCGAUGCCUAAACCAAUCCGACCAGCGAACGCGUCCAAACACCCGAAGCGUCGGGAGAGGGGCGGUCGCAACGGACCUCACCUCUCCAGGCAAAACCCAAACCCCGGCACCAUACGUGCCAAGGAUCCGAAACACAUUCUUGGUCGACUCCGAAGGACGGUGUCCGACGGAAUCGGCACGAAACGAAUCGAAACGACUCUCGGCAACGGAUAUCUCGGCUCUUGCAUCGAUGAAGAACGUAGCGAAAUGCGAUACUUGGUGUGAAUUGCAGAAUCCCGUGAACCAUCGAGUCUUUGAACGCAAGUUGCGCCCGAAGCCACUAGGCCGAGGGCACGCCUGCCUGGGUGUCACACAUCGUCAUCCCCAUGCAAACGCGCAUCGGGGCGAAAGCUGGCCUCCCGCGAGACAACCAUCGUGGUUGGUCGAAAACCAAGGUAAUGUCGGGGUCCCCCCGCGAGAAACGGUGGAUGAGCAAACGCUCGAGACCAAUCGUGGAGACUUGGCAAUCCAAUUGAUCGGCCCUAUUGCGUUCUUGGCAGAAAGCAAAGACGCUCUUAACGAGACCUCAGGUCAGGCGGGGCUACCCGCUGAGUUUAA
rnacentral:rRNA from 1 species